rnacentral:rRNA from 1 species
GCACAGAGUUAGCCGUCCCUUCCUCUUUCGCUACUAUCAGCUCGCCAUCUUUUAAAUAGCAAGGUUUGAUCGCAAAUGACAGGGGUUUACGGGCCGAAGCCAUUCAUCCCCCACGCGGCGUCGCUCCAUCAGGCUUGCGCCCAUUGUGAAAAAUUCUCGACUGCUGCCACCCGUAGGUGUCUGGACCGUGUCUCAGUUCCAGUGUGGCUGGUCGUCCUCUCAGACCAGCUACCCGUCUUAGCCUUGGUGAGCCGUUACCUCACCAACUGGCUGAUAGGCCGCGGGCUCAUCAUGAAGCGUCAGGCCUUACGGUCCCCAACUUUAACAACCCGAAGAUGCCUCCAGGCUGUCACAUCCGGUAUUAGUCCCGCUUUCGCGGAGUUAUCCCAAACUUCAUGGCAGAUUACCCACGUGUUACGCACCCUUGCGCCGCUCUCACACCAGAAUAUUGCUACCCUGAUGUAAUCGCUCGACUUGCAUGUCUUAUCCACGCCGUCAGCGUUCGUU